rnacentral:rRNA from 1 species
AUUGAACGCUGGCGGCAGGCCUAACACAUGCACGUCGCACGAGUGGCGGACGGGUGAGUAAUGUCUGGGAAACUGCCUGAUGGAGGGGGAUAACUACUGGAAACGGUCGCUAAUACCGCAUACCAUCGGAUGUGCCCAUAUGGGAUUAGCUAGUAGGUGGGUUAACGGCUAACCUAGGCGACGAUCCCUAGCUGGUCUGAGAGGAUGACCAGCCACACUGGAACUGAGAGACGGUCCAGACUCAUACGGGAGGCAGCAGUGGGGAAUAUUGCACAAUGGGCGCAAGCCUGAUGCAGCCAUGCCGCGUGUAUGAAGAAGGCCUUCGGGUUGUAAAGUACUUACAGCGGGGAGGCGUUACCCGCAGAAGAAGCACCGGCUAACUCCGUGCCAGCAGCCGCGGUAAUAC